rnacentral:tRNA from 1 species
GAGGUCUUAGGUUAAUUAAUUAAACUUGAAGUCUUCAAAACUUUAGAUGAAACUAAUUUGUUUCAGAUCUUG